rnacentral:rRNA from 1 species
AUUGAACGCUGGCGGCAUGCCUUACACAUGCAAGUCGAACGGCAGCACGGGAGCAAUCCUGGUGGCGAGUGGCGAACGGGUGAGUAAUAUAUCGGAACGUGCCCAGUCGUGGGGGAUAACGCAGCGAAAGCUGUGCUAAUACCGCAUACGAUCUCUGGAUGAAAGCGGGGGACUCGCAAGGGCCUCGCGCGAUUGGAGCGGCCGAUAUCAGAUUAGGUAGUUGGUGAGGUAAAGGCUCACCAAGCCGACGAUCUGUAGCUGGUCUGAGAGGACGACCAGCCACACUGGAACUGAGACACGGUCCAGACUCCUACGGGAGGCAGCAGUGGGGAAUUUUGGACAAUGGGCGCAAGCCUGAUCCAGCAAUGCCGCGUGCAGGAUGAAGGCCUUCGGGUUGUAAACUGCUUUUGUACGGAACGAAACGGUCUGCUUUAAUAAAGUGGGCUAAUGACGGUACCGUAAGAAUAAGCACCGGCUAACUACGUG